AUCCUUUAUGUUUCCUCGCUUCCCUCGUCGACCCCUUUUGUCAACCAACUUCGGCCAUCUCGUUUAUUCAGUUUCGUAAAUAUCUGUCUCGGACAUCCGACAAAAGAAAGUAAAGUUUACUACCAUCACGCGCGGUUGAAUUUGCAGUCUUGCAGAGUCGGGGAGACUCGAAGCUCGACACUUUGACCACAUGGCCUACCCUUAAUUUCCCACUCCCAUUCGUUUCCCCAAACUUUCUUCCUCUCUCCCUUCACUCUUCGUUUUUCUUCUCUGCGUCCAUAACGCGAUCGUUAUUUAUUUUUUCUAAAAACAUGUUCUUUUCUUGAUAUAUUUUGUCCUCUUUUUUCGAAGUCAUUGAUUUACUUUAUGGGCAUCUUUCUCUAAUUUUUUUCAUUUAUUUUAAAAAAAAUUUGCAUUUCAAGUUCAAGAUCGUUGGCUUGGAUUUUGGGACUGUUUGCUCUACCUUUAGGAUUGAAGUGAGAGAAACCGUCCGGUUUUUGUAAUCACGGCUGAAGUUCAGGUACAAAACAGUCUUCAAAUAGAUUGCUUUCAAGAUUUACUCAAAAAUUUGACGUUUUGAUCGCUGAGUUUCAAAAGGAAUCAGAACUUAUUUUCAUUUGUAUCUAGCUUGUGUCGUUAAGUGAAGCAUAAGGUUUCGAGUUGUCAAAAUCUUAUCCAAAGUUUGUGUAUUUAGCUGUUUUCCUCGAGCUCCCAAUUGGCCUGCUGAUUUAGCUGAAUUUUGUUAAAUCCUGGAGUGAAUUCUCUUUAGAUAGUUCGAUACUGCGAUCCUGUUAUCUGGAUUACUGUGCAGUAAUUGAUGGGAGGAAAAUGUUGCAAGAAGACUGAUGUCAACGGCGCAUCAUCCCAAACCCUCGAAAUGAAAAAGAAUACCCAAUUCACGCCCGAUCUGAGGUCCUAUGAGGCGGCGUGUAUGCUCGAUCCGGACUUACAGUCCUUUGAUGCCACCCUCCAAGAACGCACCAGCUGGGUCAUCAGCUCGCUCGCCACCGAGGUUGAGGUUCGGUCCUUAUCUUUUGGCUCACUCAAAGAGGUCACCAAUAGUCUUCUUGAAAUGAAUCAGGAAGUGGUGAAAGUCAUUCUAGAGUGUAAGAAGGAUAUAUGGAAGAAUGAAGAUUUGUUCUCAUUAGUGGAGGAAUACUUUGAGAAUAGUCUCAAGACAUUGGACUUCUGUACUGCCCUUGAGAACUGCUUAAAGCGCACACGUGAUAACCAGUUUACAAUUCAAGUUGCGGUUAAGUAUUUCGAGGAGGAAGUUGGAAAUGGGGUUGAUGGGGUGAAGUAUGUGAAGACGUUGCAAGAAUUAAGGAAAUUUAAGGCUUCUGGGGAUCCAUUUACCGAGGAGUUUUUUGCAUUGUUUCAAUCAGUUUAUCAAAACCAUAUAUCGAUGUUCCAAAAGUUGCAGCGUAGGAAGACAAAGCUAGAUAAGAAAUUGAAAUCUAUGAAGGCAUGGAGGAAAGUGUCCAAUGUCAUUUUUGUUGCUGCUUUUGUGUCUGUGUUGAUAUUCUCGGUGGUGGCAGCUGCCAUUGCAGCUCCGCCUCUUGUGACAGCUUUGGCGGGCGCAUUGGCUAUUCCUAUAGGUUCUGUGGGAAAAUGGUUGAACUCACUUUGGACACGAUACGAAAAUUCAGUGAAAGCACAAAGGGAGUUAAUCAACUCAAUGCAGAUCGGCACCUGCGUUACAAUGAAGGAUUUGGAUACCAUUCGGGUACUUGUCAACAAACUGGAAAUAGAGAUUGAGUCACUAUUGCAGAAUGCUGAUUUUGCUCUUAGGGAAGAGGAGGCAGUUAGUCUGGCAAUGGAUGAGAUCAAGAAGAAGCUAGAAGUGUUUAUGAAUACCAUUGAGAAUUUAAGCGAGCAUGCUGAUAUGUGUAGCCGGGAUAUAAGGAGGGCAAGGACGGUGAUUUUGCAGAGGAUAAUAAGACAUCCAAACAGCUGAAAAUCCCUUCUGUAUGUUCUUAUAACUCUUCUCAGGUUGUUGGUGUUUAUGCAAAUUUCAUGCACCAGUUAAAUAAUUGCUGGCCGACACCUGGGUCGAUUAACUUUGGUGGACCCUUCUCCAAGAAUCUAAAUAUAAAGUUAUGUUGAGCACGCUUUUCUGAAGGUGGGGGAGGGGCACUUCACAUAAAUUGCUAUUGAGAAGCGUUUCAUGGUUCAGAGCAGCUUCUCAACUCCGAAUAAAACACCAAAUUCAGACCAUGGAAAGGUUGCUCUUUUUCUGUUUUAUUUUAUUCGGAAAUUGAGGAUAUUAUUAUAUUCUGUAAGAACCAUUGGACUCACAGUGCCAGAUGCAGAUUUGGCAAUUUGAAUAUCUAUGCUCUUUUCUGGUUGGUCUCCAGAACCAGGAUCCUUGCUUUGUACAUCUGUGACUACCCCAAAUGUCAACUUCCGACUUUUGAUGAAUUGCACCCACGACUUGUUUUACAAGAAAUCUGUCUUCAACAGCUUCAUCCUUGGGUAACUUCACCUAAUUCCACUUCUUUUAUCACUCCAACGGAGCGGUUGAAACUCAAACUAUAGUGGUUUAAACUAUUGUGGUUUGCGGUGCUCUUACAUAGUUACAGGUUACAUGGGUAUGGAAUUUCAACCUUCUUAGCAUUCUGAGUUUUACUAAGCCUCUUGAUAGAAGUUAGAACUGAUUUAUGGUUCCAAGCAGCAUUUGCUGUGAGAAGUCCCAAAUGCUUUGUACGGAUAUUGGCACGCGUCUGUUUUGGUGCUUUGUUAAGUUUGUGUUGGACAUGAUAUUGAAACUUGCACAUUCAUGCA